rnacentral:rRNA from 1 species
AGUGAACGUUGGCGGCGUGGAUUAGGCAUGCAAGUCGAGCGAGAACCGUAGCAAUACGGGGACAGCGGCGAAAGGGACAGUAAUGUGUAGGUACCUACCCCGAGGUCUGGGAUAGCUGCGGGAAACUGCAGGUAAUACCGGAUAAUGUCUUCGGACCAAAGGUGUGAUUCCACCUUGGGAGGGGCCUGCAUCCUAUUAGCUUGUUGGCGGGGUAACGGCCCACCAAGGCGACGAUGGGUAGCGGGUGUGAGAGCACGACCCGCGUCAUUGGGGCUGGGACACCGCCCAGACACCUACGGGUGGCUGCAGGCGAGGUACCUCGGGAAUGGGCGCAAGCCUGACCGGGCGACGCCGCGUGCGGGAUGAAGGCCUUCGGGUUGUAAACCGCUGUCGUAGAGGAGGAAAUGCAGGGGGGUUCUCCCUCCUGUUUGACCUAUCCUAGGAGGAAGUACGGGCUAAGUUCGUGCCAGCCGCCGCAGUAA